AUAAAAGCUAUGGAUUCUAUUGUGUAAACAUCUUAACAAAAUUAGUCUUUAAUGUGGUGAGCCGGGUGUAAAAGGUACGCCCAUAUUUGGUGUCAUCAAGGUUUACCAGCAGAAAUACUAUUGGACUGAAUCAAACUGCCAGCUUUCCUUUAGAUUCAAAGGAGGAUUUAUUUUUGCCAUUGAUAUCUCUGAAGAGGCAAAAAGAUGUAUUGAAGAAGAGAUGGUGGCCACUGAAGCCAUACUUAAACAAAAUGAGAAGACAUCCAGUAAUUGUAGCUGCCAGUACUAAGGAAGACCUUAAAUCCAAAAAAGAGAGAAAUUCCAAAAUUAGAAUCCCCACAAGUACCUUCAAUGGGCUGCAAUAGAAUGAGAGGGUGUUCACUUCCACCUGUACCAGUAGAUCACUACACAAAGAUGGAUGCCUUCUCCGCCAGAAACAUAAUUACUCUAAAAAUGAUGUCUUGCAGCAAAUAAAAAUGGUAUAAGAAAUUUCUUUAAAGAAAGGGAAUUCCGGUAGGGUGCGGUUUGGCUGAGUAAUUGUAAUUCUAACGAUUGAUUUAGUCAAUGGUUAAAACUAAUUCUAAUUCAAAUGAUUACAUUGCCAAUCAUCAAGUAAUUGCAAUCAUAAUGAUUAAUGACUCUAAAUAAUUACAACAACCCUGAUUGUAAUAUGGGCUUUGGUUCCUGUUUCUAAAGUUCUACUACCAUAAUAAAUCCUCCAUUUUAAUAAGUCUCAUAUAAAAGCUUCGUUGAAUGCUUUUUCUAUUUAUAGUAGGAAAGUUGGAAGUUAAUGAAUACUGUUUAUUUUAGUUUUAUCUCAAAGUGAUGCAUUUGUUUUUAACAGGAGCAACGCCUGCAGACACUGUCAGGAAUUUUGAAUUGUUUCUAAGGGAUGCCGUCCUUGGCAUCGCAGGAGGACCUACUCCAUUAGUGUUCGUAAAGGGCAAUCCCUUUUUAAGAGCCUAUCAUAAAUUGAGGCAGGCUGAACUCUCUGCUGUUAUCAACUUUUUUACCGUAAAAGAAGAAUGGGCAGAAGAAUGCUGGCGAUGCAGCUUAUCAGCUGGAACGUUCAUUACAAUAUCAAAAGAUGGUGUUGGAUCGUGCACCAUGAUUCCAGUUAAUGCAGGACCUUUUAUGCCUCAUUCUUGCAAUUUACCUCUAUCUUUCAAUGGGCCAUGAUACCACUGAUAUCAUCACAUAAUGAGUCUUACAUAAUUAAAGACAAAGGCAUCAAGACAACACUAAGACUAAAAACUUAUCUAUUAAAUUAUUUUUUUUUUUAAUAAUUAUUAUUGUUCAAACAUUUGGCACUGUGCAGCAAA